UUACCGAGUUUACAACUCCCAAACCCCUGUGAACAUACCUUAAUGUUGCCUCGGCGGAUCAGCCCGCGCCCCGUAAAACGGGACGGCCCGCCAGAGGACCCAAACUCUAAUGUUUCUUAUUGUAACUUCUGAGUAAAACAAACAAAUAAAUCAAAACUUUCAACAACGGAUCUCUUGGUUCUGGCAUCGAUGAAGAACGCAGCAAAAUGCGAUAAGUAAUGUGAAUUGCAGAAUUCAGUGAAUCAUCGAAUCUUUGAACGCACAUUGCGCCCGCUGGUAUUCCGGCGGGCAUGCCUGUUCGAGCGUCAUUUCAACCCUCAAGCCCCCGGGUUUGGUGUUGGGGAUCGGCUCUGCCCUUCUGGGCGGUGCCGCCCCCGAAAUACAUUGGCGGUCUCGCUGCAGCCUCCAUUGCGUAGUAGCUAACACCUCGCAACUGGAACGCGGCGCGGCCAUGCCGUAAAACCCCAACUUCUGAAUGUUGACCUCGGAUCAGGUAGGAAUACCCGCUGAACUUAAGCAU
rnacentral:rRNA from 2 species